AGGACUUCAUAUCUGCAAAAUUUCUCUUGCUGCAUAUGGAAUGUAAUCAUGGAGUCCCACCAUAUUCCUAGAGUCUGCCAUCCUGCCUGGGAUCACGCACAGUAUGGAAUUUCUUCCCUCAGGUGUGGUCCUCCUCCUGUACUCCUCCACCAUGGUCCAUUAUGCUCCCCACCACCCCCUCCUCCUGGAUGCCUCAGAUCUAUGAUCAGCUUUCAAGAUUUUUUUUUCCAAAGCGAUGAAGGAUGCAUUUAGGGAAACAUUGAUGAAGGUAUUUGGUUGCCGGGAGGAUUUCAAAAAGGAACAACAGGUUGAGU